rnacentral:rRNA from 1 species
GACGAACGCUGGCGGCGUGCCUAACACAUGCAAGUCGAGCGAAUGAAGUUCCUUCGGGAAUGGAUUUAGCGGCGGACGGGUGAGUAACACGUGGGCAACCUGCCUCAUAGAGGGGAAUAGCCUCCCGAAAGGGAGAUUAAUACCGCAUAAGAUUGUAGUACCGCAUGAUACAGCAAUUAAAGGAGCAAUCCGCUAUGAGAUGGGCCCGCGGCGCAUUAACUAGUUGGUGAGGUAAUGGCUCACCAAGGCGACGAUGCGUAGCCGACCUGAGAGGGUGAUCGGCCACAUUGGGACUGAGACACGGCCCAGACUCCUACGGGAAGCAGCAGUGGGGAAUAUUGCACAAUGGGGGAAACCCUGAUGCAGCAACGCCGCGUGAGUGAUGACGGCCUUCGGGUUGUAAAGCUCUGUCUUCAGGGACGAUAAUGACGGUACCUGAGGAGGAAGCCACGGCUAACUACGUG